rnacentral:tRNA from 1 species
GUGGAAAUGGCUCAGAGGUUAAGAGCACUGGAUGCUCUUCUAGAGGUCUCUUCUAGAGGUCCUGAGUUCAAUUCCCAGCAACCACA